AAGACACAGUCCUAUGUUACCACAGCUGGAUUUCUGCUUUUUUUUUCUCCAAGAGAUCAUUAGCCGCAGUCACUGAGUUCUACCACAUGCUGCUGUUGUAAUCUGAUCCAGACUGGAGGCAGUACCAGAACAUCUGACUUCACCUGGGCUUCUGCUUCCAUGUGGUCUUGGGUGGCUUUCUUUACAUCGGCAGUCAGAAGGAGAAGAUUGCUUGUUUAGAGGAUAUUUUUGGUGUGUACCUGGUUGUUCCUGCUUCAGAUUUCAGAGUAAACUACACUGACCAUAGCUUAGUUGACCAUUUUGCUUGGAUCAGCCCCAUAUAAGUGCUGCCAGUCUUGCUUACUGGCUCUCACUGAGCACCAGGACCAAGGAAAAGCAGAUGAUGAUGAAAAGCCUCCUGCAUGGAUAACAGUGACUCAUCUCAUUUUCUUCUGCAAGAUUUUCUCUUUGGCUCUUAGUACCAGAUUUAAAGGUGAAAUACUUAACCUCUCUCUCAUACAUGUCCAAAGAUCUUGUUCUUCAAUUCUAAGCAAGUCUGAUACUGAUGGUGUGUUAUCCAUCAUUAACCAACUGUACAUGAACAGUUAUUUUUACAUGGUUAUUACAUCUUUGGUAAAAUAUUUGGUUGAGUAAGUAAGAAAACUAAGCAAAUAAAAUUAUGUUCUUCCAAAAUUUUCUGCUCUAAAUGUAAAGCUUUCCUUUUCUGCUUGUCCUAACUUUUGUCCUGAAGAACAAAUUUUUUGAAGUCAGACAAAAUAUAGCAAUUGUCCGAGUUCCAGUCGUAGGUGAAUUUAGGUACUGGGCUGUAAAACUUCAUUGUUCUUCUCUAAACAUUUUCAGUUGC